rnacentral:rRNA from 1 species
CACGUAGGGGGCAAGCGUUGUCCGGAUUUAUUGGGCGUAAAGAGCUCGUAGGCGGUUCGGUAAGUCAGGUGUGAAACCUCCAGGCUCAACCUGGAGACGCCACCUGAUACUGCUGUGACUCGAGUCCGGUAGGGGAGCGUGGAAUUCCUGGUGUAGCGGUGAAAUGCGCAGAUAUCAGGAGGAACACCGAUGGCGAAGGCAGGUCUCUGGGCCACUACUGACGCUGAGAAGCGAAAGCAUGGGGAGCGAACAGG